AAAAAUAAUAAUAAUAAAAAAAACCUAAUGUGCUAAACUUCCAAUAAGGCAAAAAACUUUUGAUGCUGGAUGCAGUGUUAUAUACCUAUAAUACAUAUACCAGGUACUUGGGAAGCUGAGGCAGGGGGGUUGCAAAUUUGAGGUUAGCCUUGGCAACAUAGUGAGACUGUGCCUCAAAAAAUAAAGAUAAAAAGGACUGGAGGUGUGACUCACUUGUAAAGCACCCCUAAAUUCAAACAAAAGCAAACAAACAAAACUUAAAGUGUCUUAAUUUUUUCCUACUAUAUCAGGUCUCUGGCCAACCCUGUUUCUUUUCCCUAUAGCAAUUCUUGGCCACACAGUUGAUUAUGCAAACAUCUGAGUCUGGAAUCAGUGCUAAAAGUCUUCGAGGAAGAGAUUCUACUCGAAAACAAGAUGCUUCAGAGAAGGUGAGGUGAUAGAUCAGAAAAGAGACUAUUCACCAGUAUUCCAGUGCUAAAAGUCUGAAGUAUUCAAAGAACCUUAUGUUAGUACUUGGUAUUGCCAAGCUUCUGCAUUCUAAUGGUGCACAGAAACAGAUCAUAGAAUAGUAGUUGUUUGCUCCUAUCCAAACAAAGAAAUAUGCUGUUAACUGAGAGGCCCAGUAACAUGGCAGAAAUUUUGAACUGAGUGAAUGAAAUAUUAAUUCCUUUUGGGAGAGUACUCUCAAGGGGGUGGGGGGAAUUGACCUAGCUUGCAGCAGUUAGGUACCAUCAAUUCCUGUUCCACAAACAUGAUGACUAGAUUGCUUUUGUAUCUCUUUCCUCUUAUUCUUGGGUUUUUAAAUUUUGUCUUUGUGUGUAUGGUGCUUGUGUCUCUGUCCUGAGGUUUGGGGUGCUUGCGGCUGAGAGUUUCCGUGGAACCUGAUCAGUGUUUGUUUGUCCUCUAACAGGACAGUGUCCCCAUGGGCUCUCCUGCCUUCCUUCUCUCUCUCUUUGUAAGUAUUGAAUGGCUGCAAAGGGUGGUGUUGCCAGAAAGGUUCUCAGCUCCUGCUGGGGGUGGGUGGCAGAGGGAAGUCCAACACAUAGACUGUGGCAAUAUCUUAAACUUCUGUUUACUUAGGUGGAAUAAGAAACUGUCUUUUCUUCUGCGUUUCUGUCUUCUUGCAUGUGUGUGUGUGUGGGCUGGGUAGGGAAUGUUGAUGGUAUCACUGAGGUAUUCUUGGGGUAACGAUCUAGGAUGCACCUGCUCUUCAUUUCUUGACUCCACCACUUACUAAUUCUUUACUUACAAAUAGAAAAUUACUUAGAGCAGCAGAUACUACCCGACUUUUUAUUGGUGUUCUUUAUACUGGCAGAUAUUUAGCAAGUACUUUUCUCCUUUCUCUUAAAAUAAACUUUCAAAAAUAAUCCCUGAUACACAAACACUCAGUAAAACUUAAGCUAAAGAUCUCAGUAUUAAUGCCCACUAUAAACAGUAGUGGCUGGUGGAAUUAGAGGUAAGCUUAGUAGAACUAGCCUAAAAACUUGUAUUCCUUUCCUCCAUGAAUUAAAUGAUUCUCUUAUUCUGUGUGGUUCAUUAUAGAACAUGAGGCAUACUAUACUGGAAGGGCAUCAGGCUAAAAAACUAUAUGGUCUUAAGAUCAUUGGGUAAUUUCUUGGGGCCUUGUUUCCUCCUCUGUGUGAUAGAACUAAUAUAUAAUGAGUUACCUGUCCAGCCUACCUCACAGGGUUGUUGUGAGGAUAAAAUGAGAAUGAUAAUUAUGAAACUGGCUUUAAAAAAAUUAAAGUGUGUAUAUAAACGCAAGGUGGUAUUUUUGUUCUUACAAAAGUUACCUCAUAGGUAACUUAGGUUCAUGAGCUCAAAAUAUUUUAGAAUCCUUGCAUAUUAGAAAUGUAAAAAUGGUCUGGCCCAGCAAAAGUGUUCACUAGUUCAUCUUGCCUACAGGCCUUUCAGCCUGUACCACAGACAGAACACUAUGGUCUCCGUUCUUUCUUAUUGGCCUGCAACAGUGACUCUGGAUCACCAAGCAGUUGGCUGGCUAUUGCAAGGCUGGUUAAUAGGAUCUUUUAUCUAUUGAAGACAGCAAAGUAUUGCACAAGAGGAAGGAGCUGGGCUGCAGGGAGAGAGCAGCAGAUGGAAAGAAGCCUGAUUGUCCUGAUCUCAUGGAAAACAGCUGUCAGGAGGUGCUAGGGAACUAGUGCCAGGGUCAGUCUGCAGGAAAGGCCUUUCUUAUAGGGACCAACAGCUGGACAGGUAUGUUAGCCAAGAACCUCACUAUCCAAUUCCCUUUCUAACUUUCCCACCUUUAGUUUACUCUUCCUGUUCCUUUGCACAUGAUUUGGGCCUGGGUGGUAUGACUAACAGUCAUUCUGUGGGACCCCAGGUGAAUUCCAAGGACCUCUGUGAUGGUCAUGAUCCAGAUAAUCUGUCCUACAUUUCCUCUCACAAACUACGAGGUGUUUUUUUUAGCUACUCUGUGGGAAGAAAGAAAUAUGCCCCCUCGUCCCUCUGAAGUUUUGUGCUGAUUUUUUUUUCCCCUCUCCCCCACUAAACCAAAUCCCUGCAUUCCUGUUGCACCUUGUCUCUUAACUCUUAACCAGCUUAUUCAUACCCUCUUUCUUUCUCUGCUGUCAUCUAGGAUGGGGGCACCAGAGGACGCCGCUGUGCCAUUGAAGCAGACAUGAAGAUGAAAAAGUGAAGCCUCAAGAGUGUUCUCUUUGAGCUAAACCUGAAAUAGAAGUAAACAAGAUAGAGCUUGGGCUUGUGGGCCCUGUUCCAGAACUGGGAAUUACAGAAGAGGAGGCGCCCGGGCCGCAUGACAUGAGCUGGAAAAAUCUCUCUCAGAGAGUUGGAAGUAACACAUUUGCCUGUUUUAGGGCAAAAAUCGUGGGCUGUGUUAAUGCCCUCAUGUGUAGCUAGCAGAUUGUAGCUAGUUUGUACUGUCUUGUGAAGUGUACAGACUUUUUAAAAAUAAAUCUGUGAAGUGCGUGUGUAUACAAUAAAAUGAAAAAAAAAAAAUCUCUGGC
rnacentral:lncRNA from 1 species